rnacentral:rRNA from 1 species
CCCUUAGAUGUCCUGGGCCGCACGCGCGCUACACUGAGUGUCUGAGAUACGAGUCUGCCUGGUCCGGCAAGGUCUAGGUAAUCGCUAAAAGACACAUCAUGCUUGGGAUAGAUUAUUGCAAAUAUUAAUCUUCAACGAGGAAUUCCUAGUAAGCGCGAGUCAUCAGCUCGUGCUGAUUACGUCCCUGCCCUUUGUACACACCGCCCGUCGCUCCUACCGAUUGAGUGCUCAGGUGAAUAAUUCGGACUGCAGCAAUGUUUGGAUCCCGAACGUUGCAGCGGAAAGUUUAGUGAACCUUAUCACUUAGAGGAAGGAGAAGUCGUAACA